CCCUGAGUCCGGGUGCCCCACCCCCACAACCCCAGGCCUGGAGGGCUGAAUGCCUGUAGAUGCUGAAGCGAACAGAGUUGGAAUUGAGGGUCGGGCUUGAAGGAAGAGUCUCCAUCUGGAUCUGGAGUGGCCAUUUUUGGUAAGGCUGGCAGACCAAUAAGCCCCAGUGAUUCUCCUGGCUUUACCCCCUGAAGAACUGGGGUUACAGACAGGAGUGGGACCUGAGGAGAUAAACAACCCAUCGCUCUUCAGCCUGGCCCCAG